GACGAACGCUGGCGGCGUGCUUAACACAUGCAAGUCGAGCGGAAAGGCUCCUUCGGGGGUACUCGAGCGGCGAACGGGUGAGUAACACGUGAGUAAUCUGCCCUGCGCUCUGGGAUAGCCACCGGAAACGGUGAUUAAUACCGGAUAUGACCGCUACACGCAUGUGUUGGGGGUGGAAAGUUUUUCGGCGCAGGAUGUGCUCGCGGCCUAUCAGCUUGUUGGUGAGGUAAUGGCUCACCAAGGCUUUGACGGGUAGCCGGCCUGAGAAGGUGACCGGUCACACUGGGACUGAGACACGGCCCAGACUCCUACGGGAGGCAGCAGUGGGGAAUAUUGGACAAUGGGCGGAAGCCUGAUCCAGCAACGCCGCGUGAGGGAUGACGGCCUUCGGGUUGUAAACCUCUUUCAGUACCGACGAAGCGAAAGUGACGGUAGAUACAGAAGAAGGACCGGCCAACUUCGUGCCAGCAGCCGCCGUAAGAC
rnacentral:rRNA from 1 species